ACACUCCUACGGGAGGCAGCAGUGGGGAAUAUUGCACAAUGGGCGCAAGCCUGAUGCAGCCAUGCCGCGUGUAUGAAGAAGGCCUUCGGGUUGUAAAGUACUUUCAGCGGGGAGGAAGGCGAUAAGGUUAAUAACCUUGUCGAUUGACGUUACCCGCAGAAGAAGCACCGGCUAACUCCGUGCCAGCAGCCGCGGUAAUACGGAGGGUGCAAGCGUUAAUCGGAAUUACUGGGCGUAAAGCGCACGCAGGCGGUCUGUCAAGUCGGAUGUGAAAUCCCCGGGCUCAACCUGGGAACUGCAUUCGAAACUGGCAGGGUAGAGUCUUGUAGAGGGGGGUAGAAUUCCAGGUGUAGCGGUGAAAUGCGUAGAGAUCUGGAGGAAUACCGGUGGCGAAGGCGGCCCCCUGGACAAAGACUGACGCUCAGGUGCGAAAGCGUGGGGAGCAAACAGGAUUAGAAACCCCGGUAGUCCCAUGAU
rnacentral:rRNA from 1 species